rnacentral:rRNA from 1 species
GAUGAACGCUGGCGGCGUGCCUAAUACAUGCAAGUCGAGCGAACAGACGAGGAGCUUGCUCCUCUGACGUUAGCGGCGGACGGGUGAGUAACACGUGGAUAACCUACCUAUAAGACUGGGAUAACUUCAGGAAACCGGAGCUAAUACCGGAUAAUAUAUUGAACCGCAUGGUUCAAUAGUGAAAGACGGUUUUGCUGUCACUUAUAGAUGGAUCCGCGCCGCAUUAGCUAGUUGGUAAGGUAACGGCUUACCAAGGCAACGAUGCGUAGCCGACCUGAGAGGGUGAUCGGCCACACUGGAACUGAGACACGGUCCAGACUCCUACGGGAGGCAGCAGUAGGGAAUCUUCCGCAAUGGGCGAAAGCCUGACGGAGCAACGCCGCGUGAGUGAUGAAGGUCUUCGGAUCGUAAAACUCUGUUAUUAGGGAAGAACAAAUGUGUAAGUAACUAUGCACGUCUUGACGGUACCGAAUCAGAAAGCCACGGCUAACUACGU